CCCUGAUAGUACUAGAUGUUUGGUCUUCUUCACAAUCUCCCCGAUUACCAGCUUCCUCUUUUUUUAGCCACAAAGAAAACCACCAAAAAAUUCCGAUGUAAUAACUGGCUUGAAUCAAGCAGAUAUCUUUAAGAAAAUAAACAACCCCCUGCCAACAUUCUAAACUCCAGCUAAUUGUAGUGUACUUUUUUACGGUUUACAUGUAGUAUUUGCCCUUCUAGAGAUGACUGUAUUUAACAUGUUGUAAAUUUUAUUAUUUGAAGAAUAAGAAUUCAAGACCAGAGACGAACAACAGUUACUGUCCACCAAAGAUAUAUGUCCCACCCUCUGUGAGUCCAAUUUGAAAAAAUACUAGAGUGGUUUGCCAUUUCCUCCUCCAGGACAUUUUACAGGAACAAGAAAGAAUAUCUGGAAUCAAACAGCACUUUCCACAAGAGGACAUGACAAACAGCACUUACUGUUCCGACAAGGAGAGUAUUCUGCAUAUGCACUGAAAUUCUGAAUCGCUACGUAGCAAGUGCCAACAGGAUCCUUUUCCCGGGUAGCUUUGAGAGUUCUCCAGUGAUACAAAGGAGCGCAGGCCUGUUAAAAUAUCAAAGACAGCAGGCAUACUUGGAUGAGGAUUUAGCCACCUUGUUUCCUUAUGCAUGGCAAACCACAAGAAAUGAGAAUGAUACAA